UCCCCCGUGGUGUAAAUGGCAGCACACUGGUUUUUGGUACCAGCAGGACAAGGUUCGAAUCCUUGCGGGGGAGCCA
rnacentral:tRNA from 2 species